UUGCAAACUGGAGAUGGCGACCGGCGCACGGGUGAGUAACACGCUAUCCAACCUGCCGAUAACUCGGGGAUAGCCUUUCGAAAGAAAGAUUAAUACCCGAUGGNAUAAUCAGACCGCAUGGUCUUNUUAUUAAAGAAUUUCGGUUAUCGAUGGGGAUGCGUUCCAUUAGGCAGUUGGUGAGGUAACGGCUCACCAAACCUUCGAUGGAUAGGGGUUCUGAGAGGAAGGUCCCCCACAUUGGAACUGAGACACGGUCCAAACUCAUACGGGAGGCAGCAGUGAGGAAUAUUGGUCAAUGGGCGCAGGCCUGAACCAGCCAAGUAGCGUGAAGGAUGACUGCCCNUAUGGGUUGUAAACUUCUUUUAUAUGGGAAAUAAAGUUUUUCCACGUGUGGAAUUUUUGUAUGUACCAUAUGAAUAAGGAUCGGCUAACUCCGUGCCAGCAGCCGCGGUAAUACGGAGGAUUCCGAGCGUUAUCCGGAUUUAUUGGGUUUAAAGGGAGCGUAGGUGGACAGUUAAGUCAGUUGUGAAAGUUUGCGGCUCAACCGUAAAAUUGCAGUUGAUACUGGCUGUCUUGAGUACAGUAGAGGUGGGCGGAAUUCGUGGUGUAGCGGUGAAAUGCUUAGAUAUCACGAAGAACUCCGAUUGCGAAGGCAGCUCACUGGACUGCAACUGACACUGAUGCUCGAAAGUGUGGGUAUCAAACAGGAUUAGAUACCCUGGUAGUCCACACAGUAAACGAUGAAUACUCGCUGUUUGCGAUAUACAGUAAGCGGCCAAGCGAAAGCAUUAAGUAUUCCACCUGGGGAGUACGCCGGCCAACGGUGAAACUCAAAGGAAUUGACGGGGGCCCGCACAAGCGGAGGAACAUGUNGGUUUAAUUUCGAUGAUACGCCGANGGAACCUUACCCCGGGCUUUAAAUUGCAUUUGAAUAUUUUGGAAACAGUAUAGCCGNAAGGCAAAUGUGAAGGUGCUGCAUGGUUGUCGUCAGCUCGUGCCGUGAGGUGUCGGCUUAAGUGCCAUAACGAGCGCAACCCUUAUCUUUAGUUACUAACAGGUCAUGCUGAGGACUCUAGAGAGACUGCCGUCGUAAGAUGUGAGGAAGGUGGGGAUGACGUCAAAUCAGCACGGCCCUUACGUCCGGGGCUACACACGUGUUACAAUGGGGGGUACAGAAGGCAGCUACCUGGUGACAGGAUGCUAAUCCCAAAAGCCUCUCUCAGUUCGGAUCGAAGUCUGCAACCCGACUUCGUGAAGCUGGAUUCGCUAGUAAUCGCGCAUCAGCCAUGGCGCGGUGAAUACGUUCCCGGGCCUUGUACACACCGCCCGUCAAGCCAUGAAAGCCGGGGGUACCUGAAGUACGAACCGCAGGAGCUCCUAGG
rnacentral:rRNA from 1 species